rnacentral:rRNA from 1 species
CCUACACGACCGUACCGCAAACCGACACUGGUGCGCGAGAUGAGUAUUCUAAGGCGCUUGAGAGAACUCAGGAGAAGGAACUCGGCAAAUUGACACCGUAACUUCGGAAGAAGGUGUGCCUUUAGUAGGUGAACCUGUACAAGGGGAGCCCAAUGAGGUUGCAAAAAAUCGGUGGCUGCGACUGUUUAAUAAAAACACAGCACUCUGCAAACACGAAAGUGGACGUAUAGGGUGUGACGCCUGCCCGGUGCUGGAAGAUUAAAUGAUGGGGUGCAAGCUCUUGAUUGAAGUCCCAGUAAACGGCGGCCGUAACUAUAACGGUCCUAAGGUAGCGAAAUUCCUUGUCGGGUAAGUUCCGACCUGCACGAAUGGCGUAACGAUGGCCACACUGUCUCCUCCUGAGACUCAGCGAAGUUGAAAUGUUUGUGAUGAUGCAAUCUCCCCGCGGAAAGACGGAAAGACCCCAUGAACCUUUACUGUAGCUUUGUAUUGGACUUUGAACAGAUCUGUGUAGGAUAGGUGGGAGGCUUUGAAGUGUGGUCGCUAGAUCGCAUGGAGCCAACGUUGAAAUACCACCCUGGUGUGUUUGAGGUUCUAACCUAGGCCCGUAAUCCGGGUCGGGGACAGUGCAUGGUAGGCAGUUUGACUGGGGCGGUCUCCUCCCAAAGCGUAACGGAGGAGUUCGAAGGUACGCUAGGUACGGUCGGACAUCGUGCUAAUAGUGCAAUGGCAUAAGCGUGCUUAACUGCGAGACUGACAAGUCGAGCAGAUGCGAAAGCAGGACAUAGUGAUCCGGUGGUUCUGUAUGGAAGGGCCAUCGCUCAACGGAUAAAAGGUACUCUGGGGAUAACAGGCUGAUACCGCCCAAGAGUUCAUAUCGACGGCGGUGUUUGGCACCUCGAUGUCGGCUCAUCUCAUCCUGGGGCUGUAGCCGGUCCCAAGGGUAUGGCUGUUCGCCAUUUAAAGAGGUACGUGAGCUGGGUUUAAAACGUCGUGAGACAGUUUGGUCCCUAUCUUCCGUGGGCGCUGCAGAUUUGAGGAAGCCUGCUCCUAGUACGAGAGGACCGGAGUGGACACACCUCUGGUGUAUCGGUUGUCACGCCAGUGGCAUUGCCGAGUAGCUAUGUGUGGAAGAGAUAACCGCUGAAAGCAUCUAAGCGGGAAACUCGUUUCAAGAUGAGAUCUGCCGGGGCCUUGAGCCCCCUAAAGAGUCGUUCAAGACCAGGACGUUGAUAGGUCGGGUGUGGAAGCGCAGUAAUGCGUUAAGCUAACCGAUACUAAUUGCUCGUGCGGCUUGACCUA